UUGGUCACGCCCGAAGUCGUUACCCCAACCUUUUGGAGGGGGAUGCCUAAGGUAGGACUGAUGACUGGGGUGAAGUCGUAACAAGGUAGCCGUACCGGAAGGUGUGGCUGGAUCACCUCCUUU
rnacentral:rRNA from 1 species